rnacentral:rRNA from 1 species
CCUACGGGGGGCUGCAGUGGGGAAUUUUGGACAAUGGGCGCAAGCCUGAUCCAGCCAUUCCGCGUGAGUGAAGAAGGCCUUCGGGUUGUAAAGCUCUUUCGCAAGGGAAGAAAACUUAUCCUCUAACAUAGGAUGAGGUUGACGGUACCUUGAUAAGAAGCACCGGCUAACUACGUGCCAGCAGCCGCGGUAAUACGUAGGGUGCGAGCGUUCGUCGGACGUGAUGGGCGUAUUGUGUAAGUAGGAUGUGAAAUCCCCGAGCGCAACUUGGGAACUGCGUUUGAAACUACAAGACUAGAAUAGGUCAGAGGCGGGUAGAAUUCCACGUGUAGCAGUGAAAUGCGUAGAGAUGUGGAGGAAUAUCAAUGGCGAAGGCAGCCCCCUGGGAUCAUAUUGACGCUCAUGCACGAAAGCGUGGGGAGCAAACAGGAUUAGAUACCCCUGUAGUC